CUUGCAACCAAUAAGAGGUCCAGCCUGCCCAGUGACUCUGUUCAACGGCCGCGGUAUCCUAACCGUGCAAAGGUAGCGCAAUCAUUUGUCCUUUAAAUAAGGACUAGUAUGAACGGCACCACGAAAGCUAUACUGUCUCCUUCCCCUAAUCAGUGAAACUAAUCCCCCCGUGAAGAAGCGGGGAUACUUUUAUAAGACGAGAAGACCCUAUGGAGCUUUAAACGCACAACAAUUGUCACGGAUCUACCACUCUCCCCGGAAGGAACUGCACACCCGAACACUUUGAUUGUAAGUUUUAGGUUGGGGUGACCGCGGAGCAAAAAAUAACCUCCACAGUGAUAUGGGAUUCUUUCCCUUAACCCAGGACCACAACCCCAGGGAUCAAUAAAUUGACACCCAUUGACCCA
rnacentral:rRNA from 1 species